rnacentral:rRNA from 1 species
UACGUAGGGUGCAAGCGUUGUCCGGAAUUAUUGGGCGUAAAGAGCUCGUAGGCGGUCUGUUGCGUCGGCUGUGAAAACCCGGGGCUCAACCCCGGGCCUGCAGCCGAUACGGGCAGACUAGAGUUCGGCAGGGGAGACUGGAACUCCUGGUGUAGCGGUGAAAUGCGCAGAUAUCAGGAGGAACACCGGUGGCGAAGGCGGGUCUCUGGGCCGAUACUGACGCUGAGGAGCGAAAGUGUGGGGAGCGAACAGG